rnacentral:misc_RNA from 4 species
AACGCACAUUGCGCCUCCUGGUAUUCCGGGAGGCAUGCCUGUUCGAGCGUCAUUAAAAACCACUCAAGCUCUUUUGCUUGGUCAUGGAAGAUGAGUGCGCAUAGCGUCCUCCCUUUCGAAAUACAAUGGCGGAAAGCUCCAUGUGCCCCGGCGUAGUAAGUUUUUCUUUCGCUUGGAACAUGAGGUGAUCCUGCCACAAACCCCCAAUUUUUCUAGGUUGACCUCGGAUCAGGUAGGGAUACCCGCUGAACUUAA